rnacentral:rRNA from 1 species
UAGGGAAUCUUCCGCAAUGGGCGAAAGCCUGACGGAGCAACGCCGCGUGAGUGAUGAAGGUCUUCGGAUCGUAAAACUCUGUUAUUAGGGAAGAACAUAUGUGUAAGUAACUGUGCACAUCUUGACGGUACCUAAUCAGAAAGCCACGGCCAACUACGGGCCAUCAGUAGGGGGCAAAAGUUUAUUCCGAAUUUUUUGGGGGUAAAGCGCGCGUUGGCGGUUUUUUUAGUUUUGAUGUGAAAGCCCCCCGGCUCCACCCCUGGAGGGUCAUUGGAAACUGGAAAACUUGAGUGCAGAAGAGGAAAGNGGAAUUCCAUGUGUAUCGCGCUGAAAAGCGCAGAGAUAUGGNAAACCCCCAGUGGCGAAGGCGACUUUCUGGUCUGUAACUGACGCUGAUGUGCGAAAGCGUGGGGAUCAAACAGGAUUAGAUACCCUGGUAGUCCACGCCGUAAACGAUGAGUGCUAAGUGUUAGGGGGUUUCCGCCCCUUAGUGCUGCAGCUAACGCAUUAAGCACUCCGCCUGGGGAGUACGACCGCAAGGUUG